rnacentral:tRNA from 1 species
UUUUCGCAGGCACCAAGUCCAGCAUAGACAUGGGUGGCAGCGAUGGUCGGAAAAAGAAAAAGGA